AACAGAGUUAGAGCGGCGUGGGUAAGGAUGUUUUCAUGUGAUGUGACGGUCAUCAGAAAGACCAGGAGGGGUCAAGCUAGAAGGAAGAGAUGUCCUUGUUUUGGGGGCAUGGAAGUGUGUGCAGAUAAAUAAUGCGCGCCUCAGACAUAAUGUCUCGGGAGCUCUGGGGACAUUAGGCCUUGGAAAUUUUAUGGGUCUGCUGAUCUGAGCUACUGAGAACACUUUUGCAAAUGUACCUUCAGAUGAGAAACACACAGAGGAAAUCCCUUCAGAACCUCACUGGUGGUUUUAAAACAGCAUGAAAGGACACGUGUCAGCGGUACAAGGAAAUUAGGUGGAAGUUGAAGAGCUAGGCUACCCUCUUCUGAGCCAGAACUUUGUUAAAUUCUGAAAAAUCAUGGAAGAUGCCAUUGUCUAAUGAGAAAAACUUUAUUAAGAUGAAUAAAAGGAAAAAGG